rnacentral:rRNA from 1 species
AUGGAAGGGUUGUACCACGGAGAAGGGGUGAUAAAUAUUGAAGAUGAUGAGGAAGAGAUCCAGGCCGCACUUCGGGAGACACUAAGAGACAAGAAUGUCUCUCGCGCAGUUGAGAGGAGGCGUGGGAGUGGCAGUGGUGUUUGUGUGUCUCUUGGGAAACAAAGUAUCACAUCAUACUUGGACAAGGAAUUGUCGAGCAACAAAGUAUCAAUGCAGCCAAAGAUCAACACUGCUUUGAAUGUUGAGUCAAAAGAUGUACUUGGCCAAGCUUGGGCAAAGUUUUUUCAUGCUAAUGACAUUGCUGGUCUGAAAGCAAAUUUUUCCUAUUUUCGUGCGGCUGUCAAGAUAACUCAAAACCUUGGCCCAGCUCCUGUUCCAACUGCCAAGGAGAUUGAUGGGAUAUAUUUGGCGAAGAAUUAUGAAGAAGCUGAGCAGUGGCUGAAGAUGUUCAAGCAAGACUGGAGGAACUAUGGUGUAACUGUGAUGUGUGACUCAUGGACAUGGCCUACUGGUAUGAGUCUCAUCAAUUUCAUGGUGUAUUGCAAUGCAUGGAUGUUCUUUCAUAAAUCCAUUGAUGCUUCUGGUCAAACUCAGACUGCAGAUACGUGCUGA